ACGUAGGGGACGAGCGUUGUCCGGAAUUACUGGGCGUAAAGGGCGCGCAGGCUGCGUGUCGAGUCGGCUGUGAAAGAUCCGGGCUCAACCCGGUGAAGCGGUCGAGACCGGCGUGCUUGAGUACGGCAGAGGGUAGUGGAAUUCCCGGUGUAGCGGUGAAAUGCGUAGAUAUCAGGAGGAACACCGGUGGCGAAGGCGGCUUGCUGGACCGCAACUGACGCUGAGGCGCGAAAGCCAGGGGAGCGAACGG
rnacentral:rRNA from 1 species